UAAGACAGCUGAAUGAUAGUCGGGCUGAAGACUCUACUUGACUAGCUGAGAGGAGGUGCAUGGCCGUCGUCAGUUCGUACUGUGAAGCAUCCUGUUAAGUCAGGCAACGAGCGAGACCCACGCCAACAGUUGCCAGCUCGUCCUCCGGGAGUGGUGGGGACACUGUUGGGACCGCCUCUGCUAAAGAGGAGGAAGGAAUGGGCAACGGUAGGUCAGCAUGCCCCGAAUUAUCUGGGCUACACGCGGGCUACAAUGGGUGGGACAAUGGGUAUCGACACCGAAAGGUGAAGGCAAUCUCCUAAACCCAUCCGUAGUUCGGAUUGUGGGCUGCAACUCGCCCACAUGAAGCUGGAAUCUGUAGUAAUCGUGUCUCAAAAUGGCACGGUGAAUAUGUCCCUGCUCCUU
rnacentral:rRNA from 1 species